rnacentral:precursor_RNA from 1 species
ACUAAUUAUAUAUAAAUCAGUUCUGUCGAAUAUAUAAACAAGGUGUGAUUAGAAAAUAAUAUGUGGUAGCUAGCGUUUUGCACAAAUUAACUAGCUGAAAGAAAAGAAAACUAAUAACCAAAUAAUGCGUAUGAAUCUGAAGAUAGAUACAUAUAAAAGAAAGCUAGACAUAUCAUAUAUGGGGAUGGUAUCAUCUGAAGCUGCAAGAGAAAGCAUCAAGAAGCUAAGAGAAGAAGAGAGAGGGUACAGCCUUCAUCAGAGUAUCGAUCAGACUCGCAAAAGAUAGUCAUAUGUGAUCUGAACUAAGGCUGUACUCUCUCUCUUCUUCCUUUAGCCUCGAUGUACAUCUCGAUACUGAAUUGAACUCCAUCUCUCUCUCUAGAGAAAGAGAGAGGCACAAGCACACUCAUCUCUUUCAGGUCUGGUGGUAGCGGUUACCAUUGCGUCGCUCUUCGGUAUGCCUCUAUCGGUUUAUAUAGAUGCAGAAUUAUUGUAGUUGUACAAGGCAUUUGGGCAAUAAUUCACCUGGUGUGUGUAUGUGUGUGUGUGUACUGCAAGGUUGCAAGCUUCAAUUCCGGUGGCACACAUGCAGUGAUAAACGUAGGCCAUCCCAAUAGCCUCCUGUGAGGUCACAACCAUCCAAUAUGGUUGGAUAGGUUGUCAUGUACUACUGUUUUC